AUAAAUUCCUAAAUGAUAACAAUGUGAUGAAAGUUGGACCUCUCGAGUGAAAAUAACCAAUUUAAUGAGUCUGGCUUUGAAGAUGAAGGGCUUUGGUCAGAGUUCGGAGUUGGGAGUUACAAAAUCUAAAAGACUCAAAUCGACUGUAAUACCGACAAUAAAGGGCACCUUUGUGGAGUACGACUCCCAACCUCAUGAGAAGUAAGGGCAGAUUCUGCACUCAAAGAUGAGAGAAAAGUUGGGCAUCAAACAGGCGGAGCAGCCACAGGUGCAUGAAAUCUUCAUCAGCCACCUUUCAAAAGCCAGUGGACGCCACACCUUGUCGCCCGAUCAACUCGUCUGGUUUCGCUGUAGGAUUUACACGCUAACGUCCAGACCUGGAUCUGGCGUUUCCCCUGAGUGUCUUCCGCCUCUCGCCUGCACAGCCUUCGUCCGUCUCAUUUAAAUAAACGCAUUUUGAAAUUUCAAUCAUCGUGCCAUUCUGUGUCCGCGCUGGGAUCCCCUCCGUUCCGUGACACGUAACAUAAAAAUAAUGAUAUAAGAUUUAUUUAUAAAGCACAUUUAAAAGCAGCAAG